UACGUAGGUGGCAAGCGUUGUCCGGAUUUACUAGGCGUAAAGAGCGCGCAGGCGGUCGAUUUAGUCGUGUGUGAAAGCCCCCGGCUCAACUGGGGAGGGUCACGCGAUACUGAUCGACUCGAAGGCAGGAGAGGGAAGUGGAAUUCCCGGUGUAGUGGUGAAAUGCGUAGAUAUCGGGAGGAACACCAGUGGCGAAGGCGACUUCCUGGCCUGUUCUUGACGCUGAGGCGCGAAAGCUAGGGGAGCAAACGGG
rnacentral:rRNA from 1 species